UACGUAGGGUGCAAGCGUUGUCCGGAAUUAUUGGGCGUAAAGAGCUCGUAGGCGGUUUGUCGCGUCUGCUGUGAAAACCCGAGGCUCAACCUCGGGCCGCAGUGGGUACGGGCAGACUAGAGUGCGGUAGGGGAGAUUGGAAUUCCUGGUGUAGCGGUGGAAUGCGCAGAUAUCAGGAGGAACACCGAUGGCGAAGGCAGAUCUCUGGGCCGUAACUGACGCUGAGGAGCGAAAGCAUGGGGAGCGAACAGGG
rnacentral:rRNA from 1 species